AGCCAAGUCAAGAAAGAACAACGCGGUAUUUCUUCUUGGAACCAAACCACAUCAUGCCAAUCAACCUUGGGGGAUGGUUCUCUUAACCUGUCCCAUGUUACCUUAGUUGAGAACUGUCUACCAAAACCACCAGAUUGAUUUCUCCACAGGAGGAAAAGACCAGUCUCCAUUGCGCACUGCUUCUGAGACGGAUGCUGAGUUUGGCAAUCUAAGUUGCCUUGUUCCGGAUGCUGAAUAGAUUUCAUUGUAUAGAUCCAUGGCCUUCCAAGUAUGGCGUUAAAGGAAGCAAGUUUAUAUACUACGAUGAACUCAACAAAUGUGUGUACAUAUUUUGCAAAGACUGGCAACUGAAUGUAUCCAAGAGAAAAGGUUCUCCUAUGAACCAGUUAGCCUUUUAGUCCGGUUAUGUUGAAACCCAUUUGCUUAAAGGCAUCAUAGAAUAUCACGUCUACCGAGCUUCCAGUGUUAAUCACCACGCGAGAUAGUUCGAAAUAUGAAAAGACUAGUUUUAUGACUAAUGCGUUGUCGUGAGGUUUGUCAAUGUGCAGCGUUUCACUUUCGUGAAAUGUGAUUGUGUGUUUGGGGCCUUCUAUCAGAGUAAUUUCCUUGGAUUUAUUUUCAUCCUCUCCUUGGUAUAAUGGAGCGUAAGGUUAAUCUCUAAAGUCAAUUCUCAAAGAUAAACAAAUUUGAACUUGAAACUGUUUUUUAUUUAGUAAUAAUCUGCUCUGUUCAGAUUUAGAUGCAUCAUAAGAGCAAACAAAAAUUAAAAACGGCUAGAGGAACACUUUUUGGAAUGAGUAAAGCCAAAAAUGGUGAUGCGUGAGAUGGUUAGGCUGUAAGAUACAUGUACGGUGUAGGUCUUCUUCGAUUCCAGAAAACUUAUUUAUAGGUCGAGCUUGUAUAUGUUACGGAAACUGUUCGUGAACCUGAAUAAAUAAGACGGAGUGGGAGGAGAGGUGAGGUGGAUUUUAAUGAUUGAAUUAAAGCAGGUGUUUAAGAAAAAGAAAAAAACGUUACAGAAAAUCUAAUCGGAGACCAUAGCAAACAAUAUGGUUAUGAGAUUGAAGAGGAAGGGGAAGACAAAACUGAUCUAACUUUGCCAAAGCGGACCACAAUUAUGAAAAUAGGAAGGACCUAAAAAUAACCAAAGCCCUUCAAUGCUUUGCACUAAACGAACAGAUUCAUAAAGAAUAAGAAGUUGUCUCACUGCUCGACAUUACGACCCGUGUCGAAAAAAGGGAUAUGAUAGGUGAGGUGGCACAUUGUGGAGCCUUUUUUUCUACUUUAUUAUUAUAGAUAGAUAUAUACUAAGUGAUUUUUUGGUACUAUUGCACGGAAUUAAUAUUUACAAAAUAAGUUAAAUAUUAUUAGUUAAUGUGUUGUUUUACUUGUUGAUAAAUAUUAAAUAUUUUUAUAACCUCUAAAAAUAAAUAGAAUACUUUGUUAAAUUAUAUUUUGUUGUUAUCUCAAUUAAAUAUGAGAUUUUAAGUAUAACUAUUCAGAUCAGUAUAGUUUUUCUCUUUUUAGGUAUAUGGAGUAGUAUAUAUUUUUCAACUGAAUUAUAAUUUAUCUUGGUAUUAAAUUUUUUAAAUUAAGAUUAUUUUUAAUUAUAUUUAGUUUGAUUCAUCCAUUUAAUUUGUAAAUAAAUUUUAUAGUAAUCCUUAGCAUUUAAGAUUUGUUGUUUUAUGAAGAAUUAAAAAAUAAAAACUAAGUGUUAAAAUAAUUAGAGUUGUAUUAGCCAAUUUAUUCAGUGAUAUUCUAAAAUAAUAUACACAUGUUCAAAGAUUUAUGAAUAACUAAAUCAUAACAAAUGGUUAAUCUUGAAUUAAAAAUAUAUUUUAAAAUUUUUUAUUGUUUUUUCAAUCUUACAUAUAAUUUUAGGUAUAAGAAUUCAAACAAUUUGAUUAUCUAUUUUUAAACAUAUUGAAUUGCAACGAUGUUUCUAAACUGAACUAACUGUCUUUUUAGUUCUACUUAGAUUUAGAUAUGAAAAAUGUUGUUAUUUUCAUUUAGUUCAGCUCUUUUCCUUAUAUUUUUAAGUAUAUAUAUAAAUUAUAUAAUAACUAAUAUAAGUUUUUGAGAUUAACAAUAUCCAAAAAAGAAAUAAAAAUAAAUUAAAACUAUUGAUCCUCCCACUUUAAAAUAAAUGAUUAAUAAUUAUAUUUUGAAAAACAAAUAGUAAAUGUUUUUGAAAGGUAUAUAGAAACCCAUAAUUGUUAAUAAAAUAAAUAAAACAAAUAACAUAUUAUUUUAUUUAUAAUUGAUUAUAUUUAUAUAUAAACCACAUUGUUUUUCAAAAGUAAUUAUUUGUUAAAAUUAUUCUUAGUAAUAAAGUAUACAUAUAUUAUUGACUUUUAAAAAGAUUAAGGUAAGUAUGGUUUAAAAAGAAAUUCCAAAUAGCUUUAGAAAUAUUUAUAAAUAUUUUCCUUUUCUGUUUUUCUAGAAAAAAAAUAAAAAAAUUAACGAAAAUGUAAAUUAUAAAUUUUAAUAAUGGCAAUUACAUAACAAUUUUAGUUCAUUAAGGUUUUCAAUUUAAUUGACCAUAACGUGAUCACGUUACGUAAGAAACUGACUUCUGUAAUAAUGUAAAAAAUAAUAUAGUAUCACAACACCUAGCUUUAGUCUAUUGUGUGAUAUUACUAAAUUCUCAUUAAAUUUAGACGAUUAUAUUUAUUAUGCAUUUUAUUAUGUCACCUAAAAGAAUUAUUCACCUGAUUCAACUAAAUAUUUAAAUAUUUUUAAAAUAUAAUAACAAAAAAUAUUUGUAUAGAUUUUUCAAAGAUUAAUAAUCUAAUAAAAUCUUACCAAAUAUUUUUAAGGGAGAAAUUUAGUUAUACCACAAAUUUGAUAUCACUUUUUAAAUUUAUGUUUCAAAGAUAAAUUGUUUUAUAAAUACCUUAAUUUUGUAAUAAACACAAAUUUGAUACCAUUGUUUAAAUUUAUCUUUAAAUAACAAAUAUUUUGAUAAAUAUCUUAAGUUAUUGACCCUCAUAAAUCAUUUAUAAAUGUUUAAUUAUUUAUAAAAUUUUAUAAAACCAAACAUACCCCUAGAUAUUUAACCCUAGAAAAAUAAUCAUUAAACCCUAAAUCCAAACGUCAAAAUACUUUUGAUUUUGUGCAUUUUUAAAAAGUGGCAUUUAACUUGGCAUUUCAAACAAUUUCUUUAUUAUUAUUAUUAUUAUUAUUAUUAUUAUUAUUAUUAUUAUUAUUAUUAUUAUUAUUAUUAUUAUUAUUAUUAUUAUUAUUAUUAUUAUUAUUAUUAUGAUUAUUAUUAUUAUUAUUAUUAUUAUAUUUUUGAUUUAUUGAUAUUUUCAUUUCUGUGUUUAGGAAAAAAUAUAGUGGAAAAGAAAAAUAAAAUUAAAACUUUAAUUUAAAAUAGGGCAAUUGUCAAUAAUCGCACCUUUUGAAGUUUAUGUCUCAAAAAUGAUACUAGAAAGAGGAAGUCACAAAAAUGACAUUCAUUAAAUGGUAAAAUAUUCCUAAUAUCUUUGGUUUAAAAUUAAAUAAACAAACAAAAAUAAUUAAAAAUAAAUAAAAUAAAAAUAAAUAAAAUGAAAAAAGAAAUUUUUUAUA